rnacentral:rRNA from 1 species
UGCGUAGGCGGGUCUUUAAGUCAGGGGUGAAAUCCUGGAGCUCAACUCCAGAACUGCCUUUGAUACUGGGUAUCUUGAGUAUGGAAGAGGUAAGUGGAAUUCCGAGUGUAGAGGUGAAAUUCGUAGAUAUUCGGAGGAACACCAGUGGCGAAGGCGGCUUACUGGUCCAUUACUGACGCUGAGGUGCGAAAGCGUGGGGAGCAAACA